rnacentral:tRNA from 1 species
AGAGGAGAAGAAUCUGGUGUUUCAGCUGGUCUUCAAAACCAGUAGCAAAAGGAUAAAACCUUUUGUGGCAGGUUCGAUUCCUGCCUCCUCUG